AGAAUCAACGCUGGCGGCGUGCCUAACACAUGCAAGUCGAACGAGAAAGUGGAGCAAUCCAUGAGUAAAGUGGCGCACGGGUGAGUAACACGUGACUAACCUACCUUUUAGUGGGGGGAUAACCUAGGGAAACCUGGGCUAAUACCGCAUAAUACCUACGGGUCAAAGCAGCAAUGCGCUGGAAGAGGGGGUCGCGGCCGAUUAGCUAGUUGGCGGGGUAAUGGCCCACCAAGGCAGUGAUCGGUAUCCGGCCUGAGAGGGCGCACGGACACACUGGAACUGAAACACGGUCCAGACUCCUACGGGAGGCAGCAGUGGGGAAUUUGCGCAAUGGGGGAAACCCUGACGCAGCAACGCCGCGUGGAGGAUGAAGACCCUUGGGUCGUAAACUCCUUUCGAUCGGGACGAUAAUGACGGUACCGGAAGAAGAAGCCCCGGCUAACUUCGUGCCAGCAGCCGC
rnacentral:rRNA from 1 species